GGAUUUGAGGUAUAAGGUAGCGGCAAAAUUGGUAUGUAGCAGGAUUUCGAAAUUUUGAAUCCACUUACUAAAGCGGUGCAUUUAAUCCAUUCACUAAAGUGAAAUUGAAACCCUAACUCUUUCGUAUGCAUCUCAUCCCACACCCUUCCCCUUCUCCUUCUCCUUCCCCUUCCCCUUCCCCUCUCCUUCAUACAUUUUCCACUAGAUUUCUCUUCUCCUUCAUCCAUUCCCACACCCUUCACCUUCUCCCUCAUCCAUUCUGUACCCUUCUCCCAACUUUCAUUUAGAAAAACCCUAACUCAAACAGUUUUGUCCCUUCCUUGGGAGUUUUCGUCGUCCAGAAGCCCCCUCCUGUCGAGCCCAGGCCGAGCAUCCGUUCUCCUCCACGUCACGCCUCCUGCAGUGUGGACACCGUUCAACGACGCCUUCUUAGGUAAACGUACAAGUGAGAGUUGAAAUCUCUUAAACGAGAAAGGAUAUGAUAUAUUUUUCUUGGUGAAGUGAUGGAGUAGGUUGGGAUUAUGCUCUUACAGUGAUCAGUGAUGGAGUAGGGCUGCAGUGUCGUGGAUGUAUUUCAUAUGUGUAUUAAUAUGAUUGCUACUUUAAUUUAGCCCAGUAGAUGAAAAAAGAAUUGAUGUAAUUAUGAAUUGUAAGAUCUUUUGUAAUGAACAUUUGUAUUGUGUUUUGUAAUACUAUAUUCAACUGAUUUGCACAUAAAAUUUGGGAUUA